UACAUGAAGCUGGAAUCGCUAGUAAUCGCAAAUCAGAAUGUUGCGGUGAAUACGUUCCCGGGUCUUGUACACACCGCCCGUCACACCAUGGGAGUUGGAAAUGCCCGAAGUCAGUGACCCAACCGAAAGGAGGGAGCUGCCGAAGGCAGGUCCGGUAACUGGGGUGAAGUCGUAACAAGGUAAC
rnacentral:rRNA from 1 species